GCCAGGCAUGGUGGCUCACGCCUGUAAUCCAAGCAUUUUGGGAGGCUGAGGCAGGAGGAUCACUUGAGCCCAGGAGUUCAAAAUAAGCCUGGGCAAUACAGUGAGAUCCUGCCUCUG
rnacentral:SRP_RNA from 1 species